CUUUACAGAGGAUGAAAGGAAUAUAACAAGGUCUUACACGUCAUGCCAUUUAACCUGAAACAACCAACCAAAGAAGGCAGGGAAAUUUCUUGUAGAAUCAAAAUGUUUUGCAUGUGACUAUGGUGACUGAUUAAGUUGCAGGUUCUUAAUAUGGCUGCAACGCUAUUAGUUCAAAGAAUAGACAAGCUGCUACAAAUUCACGAGGAAGUUCCAGGGUCCUGUUCCUAUCCUGCAAAUUCAGAAGCUCAAAGAUUAGAAUGUUAUCAAGAGGUGUUAACUCUGCUUCUUAAAACACAAAUCAUAAAGAAAAUAACCUGACAGAAUCACAGUUUGACAGGUUCUUAAUAUGGCUGCAACGCUAUUAGUUCAACGAAUAGACAAGCUGCUACAAAUUCCUGAGGAAGUUCCAAGGUCCUGUUCCUGUUCCUAUCCUGCAAAUUCAGAAGCUCAAAGAUUAGAAUGUUAUCAAGAGUUGUUAACUCUGUUUCUUAAAACUCUGUUUUCAAGAGUUGAUAAUGAUUUUAACUUCGGUCUUUCAACUUACACAAAUAGAAUGGCACAGGAAAAACAGCAGGAAAAUGUUGGUAAUAAAUUAAUAGUAAUUACCUCCAAAAGCCAGCUAAUGCACGAAGACUCAUGUAUAUUGUCAGAGCAACCCAGAUUCCAAUGAACUUGUGACUAGAGGAGAGGAGAAACAAACAUGGGAUGCUAACAAUGGCCACCAUCAUCUGGAUAAGAAUAUGUCAAAUUGUCAAUGCUAAUUUCUCAGCCAAGAAAGUAAUGCCAACAGUGGCAACCAGAAGUUUUAUGCUUUUGUUUGAUUUCUGUGCGUGCUCCCCCUUCAUUUUUUUUUUCCACUUUUAAUUACAUUUUAGAAUAAUAAUAUUCUCCUAAUGUAUAAAGUCAGAUGGAUUAUUUCCACCCGAUUAGUCCAGCAUAGGGAACAGGAGAAAGCACGACCCAAUGACCCAGUUCUUACUUCCAAAAAAAUCUCACGAAGAGGGCAAGUGAUUUCAUAGUUGAUUAAAAGAACCCCAAGUAAAUCUUAAUUGUACAUAAGAGAACAGAGACUUUCCAUA
rnacentral:lncRNA from 1 species